rnacentral:lncRNA from 1 species
CUCAAUCUUCCUGGUCCUAGACUCUAGUUUUUUUUUUGUGUGUGUGUGUGUUUCGUUUUGUUUUUUUUUGGUGCUGGGUCAACCCAGGACCUCACACAUGCCAAUCAGGUGCUCUGCUGAGCCAAUUCCCCAGCCCCAGUUCAAGUUUAGAUGGAUGUCCUGGCAUGAGUUUGUUUCAGGCAAAGGUGGUAUGCAGAGGAUAUACUAAGAAAGGUGAGGUGCUCAGGCUGAGAAGUAUUUGGGCUGAAGCCAUGUCACUCACACAGGGGCCAUCUUCCAUGUUCUCCUCUAAAUGUGUUGCGUUUGACUGAAGAGCAGCUCCCAGCUCCCAGUGUUGAAGAACAGGUAACUGUAGAAGAAGAAAACUUCCUACGUCUUACUCAGGUCAGGAAACACAGAAAAUUAAGAUUCUGAGUCCCACAGUGUGAGCAAGCUCUCCUACCUGCCUGGCUGAUGGUGAAAAUGGAGAACAUGAUAGAAGGUCAUAUUAACAGGUAUUACCACAAGUUCCCAGAUGCCAGAAGUCUGCAACACUGAGCAAGCAAAAGGAGCUACACGGAAGUGGAGAAAGUCAAAGAAUAUAAGAAUUUCCAUUGGAUGUCAGACCCCUGAUCCUUUCAGGCCAGAAUUCUCUGACAAUAACAAACAUUGGGCUGAAAUGAGGGAGUUAGCUAUUGUCCAGAGCUCAUACUUUUUAUGACUCUUUUAUUUAUUUACUUAUUAUUUUAGUCAGCUUUCUCACUGCUGCAACCAAAAGACCUGACAAUUUUAGAGAAGGAAAAUUUUAUUUGGAUCUCAUGGAUUUAGAGAUCUCAGUCCAUAGACAGCUGACUCCAUUCCUUGGGACCUGAGAUAAGAUCAUGGCAGAAGGAUGUGGGGAAGAAAGCAGCUGGGAACAUGGC